rnacentral:rRNA from 1 species
CUAACCCUAGAGAUAGGGCGUUCCCCUUCGGGGGACAGAGUGACAGGUGGUGCAUGGUUGUCGUCAGCUCGUGUCGUGAGAUGUUGGGUUAAGUCCCGCAACGAGCGCAACCUUGAUCUUAGUUGCCAGCAUUCAGUUGGGCACUCUAAGGUGACUGCCGGUGACAAACCGGAGGAAGGUGGGGAUGACGUCAAAUCAUCAUGCCCCUUAUGACCUGGGCUACACACGUGCUACAAUGGAUGGUACAAAGGGCAGCGAAACCGCGAGGUUCAGCGAAUCCCAUAAAACCAUUCUCAGUUCGGAUUGCAGGCUGCAACUCGCCUGCAUGAAGCCGGAAUCGCUAGUAAUCGCGGAUCAGCAUGCCGCGGUGAAUACGUUCCCGGGCCUUGUACACACCGCCCGUCACACCACGAGAGUUUGCAACACCCGAAGUCGGUGAGGUAACCUUACGGAGCCAGCCGCCUAAGGUGGGGCAGAUGAUUGGGGUGAAGUCGUAACAAGGUAGGCGUAGCGAG